rnacentral:rRNA from 1 species
AGCGAACGCUGGCGGUAGGCUUAACACAUGCAAGUCGAACGGCAGCACAGUAAGAGCUUGCUCUUAUGGGUGGCGAGUGGCGGACGGGUGAGGAAUACAUCGGAAUCUACUUUUUCGUGGGGGAUAACGUAGGGAAACCUACGCUAAUACCGCAUACGACCUACGGGUGAAAGCAGGGGAUCUUCGGACCUUGCGCGAAUGAAUGAGCCGAUGUCGGAUUAGCUAGUUGGCGGGGUAAAGGCCCACCAAGGCGACGAUCCGAAGCUGGUCUGAGAGGAUGGUCAGCGACACUGGAAGUGAGCCACGGUCCAGACUCCUGCGAGAGGCAGCAGUGGGGAAUAUUAGGCAAUGGGCGCGAGCCUGAUCCAGCCAUACCGCGUGGGUGAAGAAGGCCUUCGGGUUGUGAAGCCCUUUUGUUGGGAGAGAAAAGCAGCAGGUUAAUACCCCGCUGUUCUGACGGUACCCAAAGAAUAAGCACCGGCUAACUUCGUG